rnacentral:lncRNA from 1 species
GUAAUAAACGAUUUCUAUUAAUCAUAAAAUGCUAUUAUCGGACCAUUUUAUUCUGACAGGAAAGGGCUGACAUAUAUAUUCUAUUCUGCUGUUGUCGGUUAUAUGGUCGGGUUGUUGUCUCUUUGACACAUUCCCCAUUUCCAUUCUCAAUUUUAUGUAUUAAUAUAUAUGCCUACUGAAUUUUUCUGGACAAGAAGCUUAAAAAUUGCCGCUACCAGAUUUCCUACAAUAAAAAUGUACAACCAAAAAGACCAAAAUAUUCACGAGUCCCUCGAUCUCAAAAGCUGCUUAAUGCCCCGUACUCCCGAUAUGAACCCCACCUGGUGCCACACCUCCUUAUAGCCCGGCA